AAGUAUACUUUUCAGAUUCCUGUAUCAAAACAAAAAGCAUGGCUUUUUUCACUGUUCACAAGACUCUGUUCAGAUAACGUAUCAACAUGCAUACAAUCAUUUGCCAUAACAUGAGUUCACACUGCACUGCACCCUUCUCAGCCCAGACAGCAUUAAUAGGACACUGAUGUUUGGUUGGUGCUGAGCGAUGGGUGGUGCAGAGCCGCUGCCAUGAUGGCGCGAGGCAGGGGAAGGCCGCAGGACAGGCUGGGCCGGGCUGCAUGUGGCCUGCAGGCUGCAGGUUGGACAUGCCUGGUUAUCAUCUGCUUCCCACUGUGUAUUACCAGCUCGGUACCUGGCCAUUGUAACAAUGGCAAGUGGAGUGGGGUGUACGUGGGCUUGUAUCCUUGGGUGCACGGGCUCUGAUUAGCUCCGUCCAGCCACUGCUCCAUCCCAGGCUUCAUCACUGGAUCCAUGCAGGUCAGGACUGCCUCAAAAGUCCCUGCUUUGACCCAGCUGUACGGCUGACUGCCGCCAACAGAAGUCUGAUAACACAUGCCUGGGGAGAGAAUGUAGGUGGGAAGUGGCAGUCAAAUAUUUUAUUUCCAUAUAGUUUUGCUAUGCAAAUACAUGUGGAGAGGGGGGAAGGUGAAGUCCUCAGACUUGCACAAAAGCAGGUCGACCUGUUUGGUUAAUCCACCCUUGCAGAAGCUUGGUACCCUGUGCCGGGGAAGGCUAUAAGCACAACAACUUCUGGGCUGAUAGGUACACAAUUGAUUUGCCCCAGUGUGAUUAUGUGCUGUCUGUUCUUUCACACCUGAACAAUGAGCUACUUAUUUCCUAUGGCACCAUGUGAAAUGACAGUGUUUUAAUUGAAGUCUAAGAGCUCCUAUAGAUCCCAAGGUUCCAAUGACAAUAAAAUCAAGCAAUGAAUCAGAUACGAAGGGAAAAAAAAUCAAAUACUAAAGCUUCAGCCUCUUCCAAUCUAAUGCAAUUUCUCAGCUCUUAUCUGAGUUAACACUCUCUAACUCCUGUGAGGAAUGCAAAGCCUGAUAGCACUUUUGCUGCAGUCUCCAAAUUCAUGUGGCUAUCGUAAAUCAAAAGUGCUGGUAGAUAAGAAAACGAAAUGAAAAAAAAAAAUGAACAGUAAGAACUGUUCAUUUACACAGCACCAGUACAGAUGAUGUGUGUAGGCUGCUCUGAAAGUAAUGCCUCCUAUUUAUUUUCACAAAAACUACAACAAAGAGCGCAAUAACACUGUAUGAUAGAGCAAAUUCUCAGCGACAAGACUAGUUUUUAAACACAGUCGGUCUCACUAGCUAUGCAUUCUCACCUGUGAUGAACGAGAGCCUGCAUGCUGUACUUGUCAAAACCUGCACCAGCAGAGAGGACCCACUGUUGUCACUGCUGAAACGCACCACCCACUGCCUCACUGUGCUCAUAUCCACUCUUUGGUCUCCAUCAACAUUCAGCAAGUGUAGAUGAAAGUCAGUGGCUGCCAUUUUUUCCGCAUGGAGGAAUUCAAUGACACACUUUUGCUUCGUCCACACUUCCAUGUCAGAUGCCAUUUUAUCAGACUGUCCCUCUGCCACCAUCUGUCACAUGGCUGCAAUGUGUAACAAAACACAGCCUCAACUGCUGUAUCUCCAACAGCCACCUCUGACACUGUGGGCCAGGAUAAUGAAAUGGGAUGCGUUGCUUUUGGAGCAGCCCUCACACAGGGUUAUAGCUGAGCUGGAGUUACACACAUUCUUUGGAUGUGACUCCCGCACUUUCAAUAGUUAAUUAAUUAAUGCUUUCAAUUGUGCACAUUCAGGAAGCAACCCGAGAAGAUUCAGCAUUUUCUUUCUGAAUACGCUCAACCGCAAUGACGGAAACUUCAACACCUCUGUACAGGGGACGUGGUUCUUAUCUAUACAAAUUAGGCAAGUCAUCGUUUCCGUUGCACAUCCGUUGCGCUCCACCUGUUCUAAUGGCCAGCGCAUGAGGCACAGCCCCCUCUCCGUCACCGCAGAGCAGCAGGGCCGUAUGACGGCGGCUCUCGUGCCCCGCAGCAGUAGCAGGAAGAAAAUGGCCGACCGAGGCGCGGGCCUGGCGCCGGGCCGGCACCAGGGGGAGCUCGGGGAGCACGGCACGGCGGGCAGGCAGCUCCCCGCGGCGCUGGGGCUGCCGGGCUCGGAACGCUUCCGUCUGCGCCACGGGGGUGUUGACGCGCUCCGAAGCCGUCUGCUUUGUUCAGGAAUCGGCGGGGGCGGAGAUGGAGAUGGAGCUAACGGGAAGCCCCGGGGACACCCCGCGUCUGCCGAGCCCGGAGCGGGGCGGUCAGACCGGUGAACGACGGAAGGGUGCUCCGGAGGCUGGCUGAAUCAUGUUUUCCGUCUCGGACUGCGAAUUAAUGUUCUUAACAUUUCUGUUCCAAAGGAAUACAAAUCAUACUACACAAUCUACAAUGUGCUCGAUUCUGGAUUCACAUCACAAAUGACUUUUGGGGGAUGCUGCAAGAGGAGACGGAAAGAAGUCCAGAACCAGGGCUUGUAAUAAGGUCUGAAAUGAAAGUCAAGACGGGAAAAACAUUAACAGAGAGGAGAUGUUUCUCCUGAGCACUGGAUUCCUACAAUUGGUCACUCUGGGAUUUCAUCCAUAAGAGAGAUCACACUGUGAAAGAUGUGGCAAAGAGAGAAGAGAUGAAUGGCUUGCACUGGGAGUGUGAGAAGACACAAUGUGGAGGAUGCUGCAGAAUAAGCACCAGCCUUUCCAGCUCCUGCAUGGUAGCACAGGCAGAAUAUUACUGGGGCCCCGCUGGGAGCCACAAACAUCCUUGUCCAUUCACAGGGAUCAAAACCCACCUCGAUGACAUAUUUUCAGAGGGAAAACAAUCAGCCUCAGAAGGAGAGGUGGAAGGCCAACAGACUGAGUCCAAUCUUUGCCAAAAUUGGUGAACAAAGAUGCUUGUAUAUGGCCCUGUGACGAGCAUGGCAGCUCCUGUCAUCUCCCUCUAGCUCUGUGUGGCAACACAAGGGUUACACUGCCUAUCCCUUACCACCAACAACUAGCGUCAAUUGCAUGCAAACCUAUGGAGGGAGCAACAUGGAGGGGAAGUUAGGGAGUGGAAGAGCAAGAUGAGCAAUGCCAAGGAGAGAGGUGACGCCACCAAGGCCACUUGGGCUUCUGGGUGCUCUCACCAGUUCCUACUGCCAACCUGGAAGCACCGGGGAGGAUCCAGGAAGACACAGAACAGGGUGUGGAAGUGACCUUAUCACAUUUUCUUCUUUUCUGCUUUACAUUCGCUGCCUGGCAGCUUUAAGCUACAUUCCAGGGGCUGGGUAAGGUGAGGACAAAGCUGCAGUGCCAGCUCCCUCCUGCCUCCCUGUGGGGCAAUUCCCUCCCAGUUGUUUUGUACCCACCAAGUGCUGCCAAAGAAUCACCAUGGGGCUUAGCAUAGAGCUCACAUCAAUGCUAUCUUACUGUCAGUUGUGCUGUGUUAUUAUCUGUGCACUUUUCUCCUCAAGCCACAGCUGCAGUAACUUUACUGCUGACACUGAACUAGGAUUUUCAUGAAGCUACACACACUUAUUUCUGGCCAUGUUUUUCUUUUUUUUUUCUUUUUUUUUCUUUUUUUUUUUUUGGUCUUAGUGAGCAGUGUUGAGAUGCUCACUCACUGACUAGUGAGUAAAUCCACUCAGUGUGUUGCCAUCAGCUGGCAGAUGCACAUAGGUGUGCAGGAACUCUGGGAGGGAUCGCAGCCAUGUCUCUGUCCUGCAAUCAGCGGGAGAAGCCUCACUGCAUUCACAGUGACUUUUUGCAGGCUCUCACUGCCACAGCUGCAGUGUUUUUUUAUGUUUAAGGGUGCUGUGAACAUUGUCAUGCAAAUACCUGACUUUCCAUACAAUUAGUGUGCAAAAACCAACCAAAGCCCAGCUGAAGCACCUCCAGAAGGUGAUGUGAAACUCCUCUAAUGGCAGCACUGCAGGGCUGGAAGCCGCCAGCCUUUGCCCACAUGUUGGUGAUACUGGUGGAAAGCAGCAGACUGGCACUGGUAGCAUUGAGUAGCUCUGCCUUCCUUGAGCGUGAUCCAGCUACAGCACAGCCUGUGUUGAUUCCCCCUAGGAAACAGGGAUCUCCCUGAGGAAGACUUUCCAAAAGAAGCUCAGUUUCUGCAGCCAGAUACUACACAAAGCUUGGCAGCUUGCAGCACAAAGCCUUUGAAAGCUUUUAUUUUCCCACUCUCUGCCCUGCUGCCACAUGCACUUCAUACUUAGGACCCCAGAGAGGAAUCGGGGAAGGAAAACAGUUUGACUAGGAAAUCUUUCCAACGUCAACAUCCUCCAUCCUGGGGCCUUGCUUUCCGGGAAAAGAUAUGCUUUGUGUGCACAUGUUUGUGUGGACUGAGUUUAAAGGCAAAGACCCCUCUUGUGGGUUUAAAAAAAAAAAAAAAAGUUAAAGUGCAUUCUGCAGACUAAACAGAUAAAGAUCCCUCAGUGCUCUAAGGAUGUAUUUAGCAACAGUUCCUGCUUCCAUCACCAGUGUAAAGACUGUUCAAAGAUGAGGACAUUUCAAUGUACAAGGAAGCCCUGAAGCCACUGGAUCCUGUUCUGUACCAGGAUCUGUCUCCAUCAACACUGUGGACAGCUGCUUCAGACCACAGGAAAGCUGUGGUCCAUGAUUUAAGGAAAUUUGGGCUAUUCAAACUCCAAGGACCUGGGCUAGGACACCCAUGGCUACUGUUUUUGUGGCCUCACCUUUAAUUUCUACUGGAGCAGCAGAAAGUUAGCUUAAUCAGCUGCUGUGAUUUCUCACGUAGCCAGUCCUGCUAGGACAGUAAUAGGAAAUUGAACCAGUGCCUCAAGGCUGAGAGUCAAACCAGUAGCAGUUGGUCCCAAAGAGCAAUCAAGCAGGAUUUGCACAGCAGUGGUUAGGAAUUCCACAGCAUUAUUGUCUCCACUAUGCCUCAUCUCUUCUCAAUGCCAAGGCUGUAGAAGAGUAACUCUUGAAGCCAAGUUACCAAACCUAUUAACCUACCUAACCCUUACAGACACAGAUCCUUUCUCAGAACAGAGUCCAUAUGAAAGGGACAUUUCUGACUGCCAUGUUGAAGUAUUGCUACCUCUACAAGAAUAUUAUUGAUUCUGAAAGGCAGGAUGGCAUGGGCAUUUUGAAAGUACACAUCACCAAGAAGCAGUUUACUUCACAAGACUGAGAUGCGUACUCUUAUGAAGGAAGCUUUGUCCAUGACUAAAAAUAAACCUGU